CUGAGGGAGGCGCUACAAUAAUAUAAUUGGUAUUUAUGUUCAGACACUCUUUGAGUACCUUCUGUCACGUCCGGGAUACAAGGAGACACAGUGAGAGAUCCAAAUGCGAGUACGUCUUUUAUUAAGGGCAAUCCAAAGAAUAAAUAGUCCAGGCAGGGGUCAAUACCAAACAUAUCCAACAUAAAUAAACAAGGCCACCAGACUAGAACACAACUAGAGACGGACGAGGAUUAACAAGGACUCCGUGAUACAUACUAAGACAGACCGGUAUAAAUACACAGGGACAUGACAAACGCUAAUGGGGAAUUGACUGUGUGCAAUGAUUACUAAUCAGUGACAGCUGAGUGCAAUGAGGAGACAGGGAUCAUGGGUAAUGUGGUUCAUUAAGUGACAGACACCGUGGGGAAGGAGGACAUCUAGUGGUUACCCAGGGAACACAACCCAGACACUGUGACAUAACCCCCCCCUCUACGGAGUGGCUACCAGACACUCCAAGACUACAGGGACAGGAAGUGGAGAAACAAAAAAAAACCAAAAACAACAACAACACAACCAGAAGACCAGGAGGGAGGUGGACUGGUGGAGGUAGAACAGGGGGAGGGAUGGAGGGCCAGGCCCAUGUAGGGGAACAGGGACAGGAAGCGAUGGCUCCACCGGUAGCCAAGGUGGAUCAGUCAGUUUAGGGGACCAGGGUGGACCCGAAAGUUCAGGUUGUGCAGACGGCCAGGGAAGAACCCGCCAUUUGAGCGGCCAGGACGGAACCUGCCACUCCGGGGCCCCUGUGGAGACGUGAAGGUGCUCUGGACGGCCUGUGGAGACGUGAAGUGCCUCGGCUUCGGGCACCAUCUCGGGCACCGCAUCGGACACCACCUCCGGAACAGCAUCGGGCACCGCCUCGGACUCGGGCACCGCCUCGGCCUCCGGAACAGCAUCGGCCACCUCCUCGGCAUCGGGCACCGCCUCGGCCUCCGGAACGGCAUCAGGCACCGCCUCGGCCUCGGGCACCGCCUCAGCCUCCGGA
ensembl:lncRNA